UAGUCUUGCUUGUUCAUAUGCGCUGUUUUAAAAUCCUGUGCUAUACGUUAAUAAUCCCUCUAAAUUGUUCAUCUGUUAAUAAAUAUGUAGAAAUAUACCACCCGGUUAUUGUAGAAUUACGAAUUGCAUGAAUUAUCGACUUUGGAGAUUCAAGCUCCAAGCGUUUGCAGGUUUUUGCAUAAUUGCACACGAAUCUUCCCUUUUGAAAUCGUAAUUCAACAGCCGUAAAGAUCUCCACAAAUUUCAAAAGCCUUGUUAGCUGGAAUCUGCAAUUUUUCAGUCAUCCUGACUAAAGGGUUCGCGUUAGUCGCACCACACGGCUCUCUAUUUUUGUGAUACAUCUAAAUUCUGAUUUAGAGAUGAGAAGUAUGUACGGGUGACUAAUGAUUCUCUCGGCUGGUAACUGAAGUCUUUUGGACAUUUCUCACUACUAACCGAGGUUGUUGAUGGCCUUUUCGCUUGAAAUCAUCUCUUGUGCAUUUUGUUUACAAGAAUAUAUGAUCCUAGUUCUGCUCCUAGUGGUUUUGUUUCAGAAGUGCAGAUCUUUAUUGAUCUUGUAUUUUUACAUACGACUUUAUGUUACGAGUUUCAGUUGUGUAUUUUUUAGCAUCACCUGUGCAUUCCUAAUUUUUAGUUGACGCAAACCGUCUCGUGGGUAUUUGUUUAUAGUAAAUAUGUAAUAGCCUUGUAAGUUUGCAUCGCUUGUCAAAAGUUGUAUGAAGGAUUCAACUGUUUAUACUCGCAACAAGGGUCAAGCAACGAGUGACUACAAAAAAUGGUGCCUCCGGUGAUGAUGGAGCGUGCUUGUACGAUUGAAGGCUUUAAGCAACCUGUUAUGUGCUGAUGGAGCGUGUCAACUGUAGACUUUGUGCUGUUUACAUCCUAUGGUGAUUCUCGUUCGGUUGCUGGGUGAUCUGCGUCAUCAAGCCAGGUCUUCGUGGCUUCUGCAGUUAAUGCAUAACACAAACACAAUUAUUGCGUUAAUGGUGGACCGUUUCCUGUCAUUAUUUUUCAUUGUUCUUGAAUCAAGGAGGUAUAAGGGUGGUCUAUUCUGGAAGAUUUAUCAACAGUAUUAAAUCAUCAGUUCAGAGGUUGGUCGUUCUUACGCUGCAACACAAGUUGCUUGACGGUAUGAAAAGUUGGAAGUUGUACUGCUGUUGUGCACGUAAUUGGUGUGGACUGCCGGUAUGAAAUGUGUUACAGCUGCAGAAUCUAUGUACAGUAAAUUAAAUUUGUUUUAUGCUUAGUUGUUCCCCGAGUUGACAGGAGCUGUUCGUUUGUCAUCGCUGUGUCUUUUCAAUUUCAAUAGUGCUUAUUUAGUUGUAA